AUUGAACGCUGGCGGCAUGCUUUACACAUGCAAGUCGAACGGCAGCACGGGGGCAACCCUGGUGGCGAGUGGCGAACGGGUGAGUAAUGCAUCGGAACGUACCCAGUCGUGGGGGACAACGUAGCGAAAGUUACGCUAAUACCGCAUACGACCUGAGGGUGAAAGCAGGGGAUCGCAAGACCUUGCGCGAUUGGAGCGGCCGAUGUCAGAUUAGCUAGUUGGUGGGGUAAAGGCUCACCAAGGCGACGAUCUGUAGCGGGUCUGAGAGGAUGAUCCGCCCCACUGGGACUGAGACACGGCCCAGACUGCUACGGGAGGCAGCAGUGGGGAAUUUUGGACAAUGGGGGCAACCAUGAUCCAGCCAUGCCGCGUGCGGGAAGAAGGCCUUCGGGUUGUAAACCGCUUUCGGACAGAAAGAAAUCGCAUGGGCUAAUACCCUGUGUGGAUGACGGUACUGUAAGAAGAAGCACCGGCUAACUACGUGCCAGCCGCCGCGGUAAGAC
rnacentral:rRNA from 1 species